rnacentral:rRNA from 1 species
GACGAACGCUGGCGGCGUGCUUAACACAUGCAAGUCGAACGGAAAGGCCCUGCUUUUGUUGUGUUCUCGAUUGGCGAACGUGUGAGUAACACGUGAGUAACCUGCCCUUGACUUUGGGAUAACUUCAGGAAACUGGGGCUAAUACCUGAUAGGAGCUCCUGCUGCAUGGUGGGGUUUGGUAAGUUUCGGCGGUUGUGGAUGGACUCGCCGCUUAUCAGCUUUUUUGUGGGGGAGUGGCUUACCAAGGCUUUGACGGGUAGCCGGCCUGAGAGGGUGACCGGCCACAAUGGGACUGAGAUACGGACCAGACGACAACGGGAGGGAGGAGUGGGGAAUAUUGCAAAAUGGGCGGAAGGCUGAUGCAGAAACGCCGCGUGCGGGAUGAAGGCCUUCGGGUUGUAAAACGAUUUAGAAUGUGACGAAGAGUGAGUGACGGUAAUGGGUAAAGAAGCACCGGCUAACUACGUG